rnacentral:rRNA from 1 species
UGGGGAAUAUUGCACAAUGGGCGCAAGCCUGAUGCAGCCAUGCCGCGUGUGUGAAGAAGGCCUUCGGGUUGUAAAGCACUUUCAGCGAGGAGGAAGGUGGUGAGCUUAAUACGCUCAUCAAUUGACGUUACUCGCAGAAGAAGCACCGGCUAACUCCGUGCCAGCAGCCGCGGUAAUACGGAGGGUGCAAGCGUUAAUCGGAAUUACUGGGCGUAAAGCGCACGCAGGCGGUUUGUUAAGUCAGAUGUGAAAUCCCCGGGCUCAACCUGGGAACUGCAUUUGAAACUGGCAAGCUAGAGUCUCGUAGAGGGGGGUAGAAUUCCAGGUGUAGCGGUGAAAUGCGUAGAGAUCUGGAGGAAUACCGGUGGCGAAGGCGGCCCCCUGGACGAAGACUGACGCUCAGGUGCGAAAGCGUGGGGCAGCAAACAGGAUUAGAUACCCUGGUAGUCCACGCUGUAAAACGAUGUCGAUUUUGGAGGUUGUGCCCUUGAGGCGUGGCUUCCGGAGCUAACGCGUUAAAUCGACCGCCUGGGGAGUACGGCCGCAAGGUUAAAACUCAAAUGAAUUGACGGGGUC